rnacentral:lncRNA from 1 species
GAAAUAAAAGGAGUUAACUGCUCCUUUUUCCUUUCUUUUUUUCAUUUCAACGUUUCUACCAGUGUAUCAGUGAUGGACAGCGGAGAGACACGCUGUAGAGCGUUGGCCUAGUUGACAAAGCUGCUUUUGAAUGCUGGUGGUUCUGUUCCUUUGACACUGCACACUUUUAUAAUAUGUGUUAAUGCUCUAUGACAAAAUGAUCUGACUCCUAGUGCCAAAGGUUCCCUUCAGUGUGUAUAACCGAACACUCAUCCAUCUGUGCUCUUCUUUUUUUUUUAAAUGGUGCUUAAAGAGCCCAUCCUUUGCAAGUCAUCCAGGUUGUUCCUUAGGCAUUUUAUCUUUGCUCAAUUGCUAAAGAAUGGUGGCUUGUUUCCAUGUUUUUUUUAUUUGUGUCUAAUGCACGUUUUAACAUGAUAGACACAAUGCAUCGUGUAGCUAGGGUUUUAUGGAAAAGUCAGUCUUGUAGGAGUUGUUUUUCAGAUCUUCAAUAAAUUUUUUCUUUAAAUUUCAAAAACAUAGAUAAUAAAUUAGAAAAAAAGAA